rnacentral:rRNA from 1 species
GACGAACGCUGGCGGCGUGCUUAACACAUGCAAGUCGAACGGAAAGGCCCUGCUUUUGUGGGGUGCUCGAGUGGCGAACGGGUGAGUAACACGUGAGUAACCUGCCCUUGACUUUGGGAUAACUUCAGGAAACUGGGGCUAAUACCGGAUAGGAGCUCCUGCUGCAUGGUGGGGGUUGGAAAGUUUCGGCGGUUGGGGAUGGACUCGCGGCUUAUCAGCUUGUUGGUGGGGUAGUGGCUUACCAAGGCUUUGACGGGUAGCCGGCCUGAGAGGGUGACCGGCCACAUUGGGGAUGGGAUACGGCCCCGACUCCUACGGGAGGCAGCGGUGGGGAAUAUUGCACAAUGGGCGGAAGCCUGAUGCAGCAACGCCGCGUGCGGGAUGACGGCCUUCGGGUUGUAAACCGCUUUCGCCUGUGACGAAGCGUGAGUGACGGUAAUGGGUAAAGAAGCACCGGCUAACUACGUG